CAUUAUUGAAAUAAACUGAUGGGUUGUUGCUGGUUCUCUAGGGAACAUGUGCACACUUGUCAUCUUUAUAUCUCCACCUGUGCAUCUUUUGUAGACCCUGGAUAUCUCUCUGAGUGCUUGCAUUUGGGUUUGAGGAUUGACUUUUAGUCUCUUCUUAUUUUUCCUGGUCUAUGUUUCUUCAUAUACCCCUAAUGUAUGUUAUAGAAUGUAAUAAAUGGGCCUUUGUGCCUAUAAACCUAUACAACUUUCAGCAACGGAUCUCUUGGCUCUCGCAUCGAUGAAGAACGCAGCGAAAUGCGAUAAGUAAUGUGAAUUGCAGAAUUCAGUGAAUCAUCGAAUCUUUGAACGCACCUUGCGCUCCUUGGUAUUCCGAGGAGCAUGCCUGUUUGAGUGUCAUUAAUAUAUCAACCUCUUCAGAGUGUUGGAUGUGGGGGUCUCUUUGCUGGCCUUUCUGAAGUCAGCUCCCCUGAAAUGCAUUAGCAGAACAAAUAUGCGGACCUGUUCAUUGGUGUGAUAACUAUCUACGCUAUUGACGUGAAGCAGUUCAGCUACUAACAGUCCAUUGACUUGGACAAUAUUCAUUAAUGUGACCUCAAAUCAGGUAGGACUACCCGCUGAACUUAAGCAUAUCAAUAAGCGGAGGAAAAGAAACUAACAAGGAUUCCCCUAGUAACUGCGAGUGAAGCGGGAAAAGCUCAAAUUUAAAAUCUGGCAGUCUUUGGCUGUCCGAGUUGUAAUCUAGAGAAGUGUUAUCCGCGCUGGACCG
rnacentral:rRNA from 1 species